rnacentral:rRNA from 1 species
GGAGUUUGGGCCGUGUCUCAGUCCCAAUGUGGCCGAUCACUCUCUCAAGUCGGCUACUGAUCGUCGCCUUGGUAGGCCGUUACCCCACCAACUAGCUAAUCAGACGCGAGACCAUCCUGUACCACCGGAGUUUUUCACACUGUACCAUGCGGUACUGUGCGCUUAUGCGGUAUUAGCAGCCAUUUCUAACUGUUAUCCCACUGUACAGGGCAGGUUUCUCACGCGUUACUCACCCGUCCGCCACUAAGUCACAAAUUCGUCAUCCCGAAGGAAUCGUAAAUAAGUGCUUCGUUCGACUUGCAUGUGUUAAGCACGCCGCCAGCGUUCAUC